UACAGAGGUGGCAAGCGUUGUUCGGAAUUACUGGGCGUAAAGGGCGCGUAGGCGGUUCGUCAAGUCCUGUGUGAAAUCCCCCGGCUCAACUGGGGAACUGCACAGGAAACUAGCGGGCUUGAGUUCGGGAGAGGGAAGCGGAAUUCCACGUGUAGCGGUGAAAUGCGUAGAGAUGUGGAGGAACACCGAUGGCGAAGGCAGCCUCCUGGGCCAACACUGACGCUCAUGCACGAAAGCGUGGGGAGCAAACAGG
rnacentral:rRNA from 1 species